AAUAGAGGAACAAAAAACUUAACAAGACUGUUAAAGAAAUAUUGCUAAUACAAGACUUUUACCGUUAUGGGGAGCAACCACAUGGACGAGGCCUUUUUUCUUGACAUUCCAGAUGCCGCGCUACAAGCUUUAAACUUUGACUCAUCAAGCGUUAUUCCUCAAGAAGAAAUGUUGAAGGUGAGCGCGCUUAAAGAGGCCAAGAAAUUUCCCUUUGAGGCAGCUGCAGUUGGAAGCAAGGGUAUUAAGCACAGCGAUUUUGAACA